UUCCCCCAUCACACCAACUACUUCAACUGAAAGAAAGCUGGAAACUCAGAGGCCAACACUGACAUAAAAUCUAUUUAUAAAAUUCAUGUAAAAGAAUAACAGCAAAUGCAUAGAACAGUUCACAAGCACCAGGAUAAAGGCUAUGGUUCUCAGGACAGACAGAACUCAGGACCACACCUUCCAGUCAGUACAAUGAGGGAUGGCACCGGGGAGGCUCACACCUUGAGCCCAAAGCCCUCUUGAGCUAUCUAGUGGCAAUCACAACAAAGAAAAGAAACAGCAAUUGCUACAAAACAUGCAUAAAUAUAGAGCUGAAGACCUUGGCUCAGUGAAGCAAAAUGACAUACCCCUAACUCUCAGCUGGUCAGGGACUGCCAAACCCCAAACCCCAGAUCCUCCUCUCUCCAGGACUGCAGCAUGUGCCAGACCCUGAACACCUCACUUUCAUCCAGUGUGGACACUGUUUUGAAAAUGAGCCAUCUAGACAACUGUCUAUCACUCUAAAGGUGAUGGGACCUGGGAGAAUGGAGCUGACAAAGGAGGUGAGCUAAAGCCUCACGCAACAACCAACUUAUUCAGAGCAUCCGACAACUUAUACUCUGAGAGUUAAGGGAGUCACUUGAGUAAAGUGGACAAUCACAAAGGCAAGCCUCAGACAAGCCGCCCAUGUUUUUCC